rnacentral:rRNA from 1 species
GUCCUUUAGAUUUAGAAUUUAAGGUUUAAUCUGCCCACUGAGUAAUUUAAUGGCCGCAGUAAUUUGACUGUGCAAAGGUAGCAUAAUCAUUAGUUUUUUAAUUAAAAGCUUGAAUGAAUGAUUGGACGAAAUAAAAUCUGUCUUUACAUAAAAUAUAGAAUUUAAUUUUUAAGUAAAAAAGCUUAAAUAUUAGUAAAAGACGAGAAGACCCUAUAGAUCUUUAUAUAAUAUAGUUUAUUUUUAAUUAAGAUUAUUUAAUGAAUUAGAUUUUAUUAUAUUUUAUUGGGGUAAUAAAAAGAUUAAUUAAAUUCUUUAUUUAUUUUACAAAAAUUCUUGAAUUAGUGAUCCUUUAUUAUGGAUUUAAGAUUAAGUUACCUUAGGGAUAACAGCGUAAUUUUUUUAGAGAGUUCUUAUCGAUAAAAAAGUUUGCGACCUCGAUGUUGGAUUAAAAAUUAAUUUUAGGUGUAGUAGUUUAAAAUUUUGGUCUGUUCGACCAUUGAAUUUUUACA